CCAUCGCCUGGAGGGCAUCCAGUGUCUGUUAUCACUCACCUUAGGUAGUCUGUGAAGGUCCAGUCAUCACUGGUGCACGUGUAUCUUACCUGUGAUCAACACCGGCAGCCACAGACUCCUGCCCAAGGAACGAACACAGUGAUCGUGAUGACAUUGACAACAACGAGCAAGUCCUCCUAGACCUAGAGUGACCUCGAGCUGGGCCAAACAUGAUGUGGAAGAAGAAAUCAGUUGUCUCCAUCAGUCGGGAUUGUGCCGUGGCAGCUUUCUCCAGCUGUCCGGCAGAGGUCCAGUCCAUGCCAUGGAGAAAUUCAGCCCCCAACAAUGAGAUGGCAUGCCAGAGAUGGAUC